CUGUGAGCUCGAUGAGUAGGGCGGGACACGUGGUAUCCUGUCUGAAUAUGGGGGGACCAUCCUCCAAGGCUAAAUACUCCUGACUGACCGAUAGUGAACCAGUACCGUGAGGGAAAGGCGAAAAGAACCCCGGCGAGGGGAGUGAAAAAGAACCUGAAACCGUGUACGUACAAGCAGUGGGAGCACGCUUAGGCGUGUGACUGCGUACCUUUUGUAUAAUGGGUCAGCGACUUAUAUUCUGUAGCAAGGUUAACCGAAUAGGGGAGCCGAAGGGAAACCGAGUCUUAACUGGGCGUUAAGUUGCAGGGUAUAGACCCGAAACCCGGUGAUCUAGCCAUGGGCAGGUUGAAGGUUGGGUAACACUAACUGGAGGACCGAACCGACUAAUGUUGAAAAAUUAGCGGAUGACUUGUGGCUGGGGGUGAAAGGCCAAUCAAACCGGGAGAUAGCUGGUUCUCCCCGAAAGCUAUUUAGGUAGCGCCUCGUGAAUUCAUCUCCGGGGGUAGAGCACUGUUUCGGCAAGGGGGUCAUCCCGACUUACCAACCCGAUGCAAACUGCGAAUACCGGAGAAUGUUAUCACGGGAGACACACGGCGGGUGCUAACGUCCGUCGUGAAGAGGGAAACAACCCAGACCGCCAGCUAAGGUCCCAAAGUCAUGGUUAAGUGGGAAACGAUGUGGGAAGGCCCAGACAGCCAGGAUGUUGGCUUAGAAGCAGCCAUCAUUUAAAGAAAGCGUAAUAGCUCACUGGUCGAGUCGGCCUGCGCGGAAGAUGUAACGGGGCUAAACCAUGCACCGAAGCUGCGGCAGCGACACUUAUGUGUUGUUGGGUAGGGGAGCGUUCUGUAAGCCUGCGAAGGUGUGCUGUGAGGCAUGCUGGAGGUAUCAGAAGUGCGAAUGCUGACAUAAGUAACGAUAAAGCGGGUGAAAAGCCCGCUCGCCGGAAGACCAAGGGUUCCUGUCCAACGUUAAUCGGGGCAGGGUGAGUCGACCCCUAAGGCGAGGCCGAAAGGCGUAGUCGAUGGGAAACAGGUUAAUAUUCCUGUACUUGGUGUUACUGCGAAGGGGGGACGGAGAAGGCUAUGUUGGCCGGGCGACGGUUGUCCCGGUUUAAGCGUGUAGGCUGGUUUUCCAGGCAAAUCCGGAAAAUCAAGGCUGAGGCGUGAUGACGAGGCACUACGGUGCUGAAGCAACAAAUGCCCUGCUUCCAGGAAAAGCCUCUAAGCAUCAGGUAACAUCAAAUCGUACCCCAAACCGACACAGGUGGUCAGGUAGAGAAUACCAAGGCGCUUGAGAGAACUCGGGUGAAGGAACUAGGCAAAAUGGUGCCGUAACUUCGGGAGAAGGCACGCUGAUAUGUAGGUGAAGUCCCUCGCGGAUGGAGCUGAAAUCAGUCGAAGAUACCAGCUGGCUGCAACUGUUUAUUAAAAACACAGCACUGUGCAAACACGAAAGUGGACGUAUACGGUGUGACGCCUGCCCGGUGCCGGAAGGUUAAUUGAUGGGGUCAGCGCAAGCGAAGCUCUUGAUCGAAGCCCCGGUAAACGGCGGCCGUAACUAUAACGGUCCUAAGGUAGCGAAAUUCCUUGUCGGGUAAGUUCCGACCUGCACGAAUGGCGUAAUGAUGGCCAGGCUGUCUCCACCCGAGACUCAGUGAAAUUGAACUCGCUGUGAAGAUGCAGUGUACCCGCGGCAAGACGGAAAGACCCCGUGAACCUUUACUAUAGCUUGACACUGAACAUUGAGCCUUGAUGUGUAGGAUAGGUGGGAGGCUUAGAAGUGUGGACGCCAGUCUGCAUGGAGCCGGCCUUGAAAUACCACCCUUUAAUGUUUGAUGUUCUAACGUGGACCCGUAAUCCGGGUUGCGGACAGUGUCUGGUGGGUAGUUUGACUGGGGCGGUCUCCUCCUAAAGAGUAACGGAGGAGCACGAAGGUUGGCUAAUCCUGGUCGGACAUCAGGAGGUUAGUGCAAUGGCAUAAGCCAGCUUGACUGCGAGCGUGACGGCGCGAGCAGGUGCGAAAGCAGGUCAUAGUGAUCCGGUGGUUCUGAAUGGAAGGGCCAUCGCUCAACGGAUAAAAGGUACUCCGGGGAUAACAGGCUGAUACCGCCCAAGAGUUCAUAUCGACGGCGGUGUUUGGCACCUCGAUGUCGGCUCAUCACAUCCUGGGGCUGAAGUAGGUCCCAAGGGUAUGGCUGUUCGCCAUUUAAAGUGGUACGCGAGCUGGGUUUAGAACGUCGUGAGACAGUUCGGUCCCUAUCUGCCGUGGGCGCUGGAGAACUGAGGGGGGCUGCUCCUAGUACGAGAGGACCGGAGUGGACGCAUCACUGGUGUUCGGGUUGUCAUGCCAAUGGCACUGCCCGGUAGCUAAAUGCGGAAGAGAUAAGUGCUGAAAGCAUCUAAGCACGAAACUUGCCCCGAGAUGAGUUCUCCCUGACUCCUUGAGAGUCCUGAAGGAACGUUGAAGACGACGACGUUGAUAGGCCGGAUGUGUAAGCGCAGCGAUGCGUUGAGCUAACCGGUACUAAUGAACCGUGAGGCUUAACCUUACAACGCCGAAGGUGUUU
rnacentral:rRNA from 1 species